UCUAAUUCUACUUAAUUCAUCUUUUGGAUAUAGGAAAACUAAGAGACCCCUUUCCAAGCCCGUGGAUCAAAACUUGUAGCCAUCUCAAUUCAGGGAACAUCAAGCAGUAAUGCUUUGGAAGAUGGAGUUGACGAAGGCUCUGCCUUCAAGCAUGUUAGUCCAAAUGGCACGACAAAAGCUAAAGUCAGACGCACUGGCACUGGCAAUCCAUUAGAUGCUGGAUCUGUGAAAAAUUUGGAGGAUUUGCAACAUGAGCAAAUGAACAAUGACUUGGUGGAUUCAGGGGAUGAAAUGGCUCAUGGUGCAUUGGUGACUUGGCUUAGUAGAAAAUCCUAUUCAAUCUGCGAUCUUCGAUUUUGAGGUGGAGGUUAGUGUGUGGUGUUGGUUUUUGAAAGUAGAUCAAGUUUGGUGGUAGUUAUGGAGUUUCAGUUUGCAUAAAUGAUGAAGACGGUGAAAUGAAGAGACGUUUUGCAGAGAUGGUUUAAUGAAGAUGCAUGCUUGAAGUUACGGUUUUCGAGACAGUUUUAUGUUGUAAUAAAAUGUUUGGACUUUUUGUAACCAAAAAAAAAAAAAAAAAAAA